rnacentral:rRNA from 1 species
AUUGAACGCUGGCGGCAGGCCUAACACAUGCAAGUCGAGCGGAUGAAGGGAGCUUGCUCCUGGAUUCAGCGGCGGACGGGUGAGUAAUGCCUAGGAAUCUGCCUGGUCGUGGGGGAUAACGUCCGGAAACGGGCGCUAAUACCGCAUACGUCCUGAGGGAGAAAGUGGGGGAUCUUCGGACCUCACGCUAUCAGAUGAGCCUAGGUCGGAUUAGCUAGUUGGUGGGGUAAAGGCCUACCAAGGCGACGAUCCGUAACUGGUCUGAGAGGAUGAUCAGCCACACUGGAACUGAGACACGGUCCAGACUCCUACGGGAGGCAGCAGUGGGGAAUAUUGGACAAUGGGCGAAAGCCUGACCCAGCCAUGCCGCGUGUGUGAAGAAGGUCUUCGGAUUGUAAAGCACUUUAAGUUGGGAGGAAGGGCAGUAAGUUAAUACCUUGCUGUUUUGACGUUACCAACAGAAUAAGCACCGGCUAACUUCGUG